AGGUCUGUGAUGCCCUUAGAUGUUCUGGGCCGCACGCGCGCUACACUGACGGAGCCAGCGAGUACUGGCGCAAGCCUUCCUUGGCCGAAAGGUCCGGGUAAUCUUGGGAAACUCCGUCGUGCUGGGGAUAGUCCUUUGCAAUUAUCGGACUUGAACGAGGAAUUCCUAGUAAGCGCGGUUCAUCAGAUCGCGUUGAUUACGUCCCUGCCCUUUGUACACACCGCCCGUCGCUACUACCGAUUGAAUGGCUUAGUGAGACCCUCGGAUUGGCGUAUGGCUGCCGGCAACGGCUGGUUGUAUGCCGAAAAGUUGGUCAAACUUGGUCAUUUAGAGGAAGUAAAAGUCGUAACAAGGUAUCCGUAGGUGAACCUGCGGAUGGAUCAUUAACGU
rnacentral:rRNA from 1 species